GAUGAACGCUGGCGGUGUGCCUAAUACAUGCAAGUCGAACGAAGCUGUUUUAACUGGUGCUUGCACCGACUUAAACAACUGAGUGGCGAACGGGUGAGUAACACGUGGGUAACCUGCCCCAAAGCGGGGGAUAACAUUUGGAAACAGAUGCUAAUACCGCAUAACCACAGAAACCACAUGGUUUCUGUGUCAAAGAUGGUUUCGGCUAUCACUUUGGGAUGGACCCGCGGCGUAUUAGCUAGUUGGUAAGGUAAUGGCUUACCAAGGCAAUGAUACGUAGCCGAACUGAGAGGUUGAUCGGCCACAUUGGGACUGAGACACGGCCCAAACUCCUACGGGAGGCAGCAGUAGGGAAUCUUCCACAAUGGACGAAAGUCUGAUGGAGCAACGCCGCGUGAGUGAAGAAGGUUUUCGGAUCGUAAAACUCUGUUGUCAGAGAAGAAUGUGUGCGAGAGUAACUGUUCGUGCAGUGACGGUAUCUGGCCAGAAAGCCACGGCUAACUACGUGCCAGCCGCCGCCGUAA
rnacentral:rRNA from 1 species